rnacentral:ncRNA from 1 species
UACCUGGUUGAUCCUGCCAGUAGUCAUAUGCUUGUCUCAAAGAUUAAGCCAUGCAAGUCUAAGUACGAGCUCUCGUACAGUGAAACUGCGAAUGGCUCAUUAAAUCAGUUAUGGUUCAUUUGAUCGUACAGUUUACUUGGAUAACUGUGGUAAUUCUAGAGCUAAUACAUGCGAGAAGCGCCGACCUCGCGGGAGGCGUGCAUUUAUCAGACCAAAAACCGGCCGCGUCUUCGGGCGCGUUCGCCUUGGUGACUCUGGAUAACUUUGCGGAUCGCACGGUCUAGCACCGGCGACGGAUCAUUCAAGUGUCUGCCCUAUCAACUUUCGUCGGUACGGUAUUUGCCUACCGAGGUUCUUACGGGUGACGGGGAAUCAGGGUUCGAUUCCGGAGAGGGAGCCUGAGAAACGGCUACCACAUCCAAGGAAGGCAGCAGGCGCGCAAAUUACCCAUUCCCGACGCGGGGAGGUAGUGACGAAAAAUAACAAUGCAGGACUCGUUCGAGGCCCUGUAAUUGGAAUGAGUACACUUUAAAAGCUUUAACGAGUAUCCAUUGGAGGGCAAGUCUGGUGCCAGCAGCCGCGGUAAUUCCAGCUCCAAAAGUAUAUAUUUAAGUUGUUGCGGUUACAAAGCUCGUAGUUGG